UACAGAGGGUGCAAGCGUUAAUCGGAAUUACUGGGCGUAAAGCGUGCGUAGGCGGUUAUUUAAGUCAGGUGUGAAAGCCCCGGGCUCAACCUGGGAAUUGCAUUUGAGACUGAAUAGCUAGGGUGCGGAAGAGGGAAGCGGAAUUUCCGGUGUAGCGGUGAAAUGCGUAGAUAUCGGAAGGAACACCAGUGGCGAAAGCGGCUUCCUGGUCCAGCACCGACGUUCAGGCACGAAAGCGUGGGGAGCAAACAGG
rnacentral:rRNA from 1 species